rnacentral:rRNA from 1 species
UACGUAGGUGGCAAGCGUUGUCCGGAUUUACUGGGCGUAAAGCGUGCGCAGGCGGUUUUGUAAGCCAGAUGUGAAGUCCCCGGGCUUAACCUGGGAAUGGCAUUUGGGACUGCAAGGCUGGAGUGCGGCAGAGGAGACUGGAAUUCCUGGUGUAGCGGUGGAAUGCGCAGAUAUCAGGAGGAACACCAAUAGCGAAGGCAGCUCGCUGGGACGUUACUGACACUGGAGGCGCGAAAGCGUGGGGAGCGAACAGG